rnacentral:rRNA from 1 species
UACGUAGGGUGCAAGCGUUAAUCGGAAUUACUGGGCGUAAAGCGUGCGCAGGCGGUGUUGACAGACAGAUGUGAAAUCCCCGGGCUCAACCUGGGAACUGCAUUUGUGACUGCAUGCUAGAGUACGGAGAGGGGGAUGGAAUUCCGGCGUGUAGCAGUGAAAUGCGUAGAUAUGCGGAGGAACACCGAUGGCGAAGGCAAUCCCCUGGGCG